rnacentral:lncRNA from 1 species
AUUCGACAAGACCAAAUGCUGGGUCCUGCACUUUGGCCACAAUAACCCCAGGCAACGCUACAGGCUUGGGGCAGAGUGGCUGGAAGACUGUGUAGAGGAAAUGGACCUGGGGGUGUUGACUGACGCUAGACUGAACAUGAGCCAGCAGUGUGCCCAGGUGGCCAAGAAGGCCAAUGGCAUCCUGGCUUGUAUCAGAAAUAGUGUGGCCAGCAGGAACAGGGAAGUAACUGUCCCCCUGUACUCAGCACUGGUGAGGGCGCACCUUGAGUACUGUGUCCAGUUUUGGGCCCCUCACUGCAAGAAAGACAUUGAGGCCCUGGAGCGUGUCCAGAGGAGGGCAACAAAGCUGGUGAGGGGUCUGGACCACAGCCCUUAUGAGGAGCUGCUGAAGGAUCUGGGAUUGUUCAGUCUAGAGAAGAGGAGGCUCAGGGGAGACCUUAUUGCUCUCUAUAACUACCUGAAGGGAGGCUGUAGUGAGCUGGGGGUCGGCCUCUUCUCUCGUGUGACUAGUGAUAGGACUAGAGGGAAUGGCUUCAAGCUGCACCAGGGAAGGUUCAGGCUGGACGUUAGGAAAUACUACUUCUCUGAAAGGGUGGUCAGGCACUGGAAUGGGCUGCCCAGAGAGGUGGUGGAGUCACUGAGCCUGGAGGUGUUCAAGGAGUGUUUGGAUGUUGUGUUGAGGGACAUGGUUUAGCAAGAACCAUUGGUGGUGGAGUCACUGAGCCUGGAGGUGUUCAAGGAG